rnacentral:rRNA from 1 species
UACGUAGGGUGCAAGCGUUGUCCGGAAUUAUUGGGCGUAAAGAGCUCGUAGGCGGUCUGUCGCGUCGGCUGUGAAAUCCCGAGGCUCAACCUCGGGCGUGCGAUGGAUACUGCCGGGCUAGAGGGUGGUAGAGGCGAGUGGAAUUCCCGGUGUAGCGGUGAAAUGCGCAGAUAUCGGGAGGAACACCAGUAGCGAAGGCGGCUCGCUGGGCCACACCUGACGCUGAGGAGCGAAAGCGUGGGGAGCGAACAGG